UGGCUCAAAAGUUAAGAGCACUGGCCGCUCUUCCAGAGGACCUGGGUUCAAUUCCCAG
rnacentral:tRNA from 1 species